rnacentral:rRNA from 1 species
GCUUAGGGAGGAGCUUGCGUCACAUUAGUUAGUUGGUGGGGUAAAGGCCUACCAAGACUAUGAUGUGUAGCCGGGCUGAGAGGUUGAACGGCCACAUUGGGACUGAGACACGGCCCAAACUCCUACGGGAGGCAGCAGUAGGGAAUUUUCGGCAAUGGAGGAAACUCUGACCGAGCAACGCCGCGUGAACGAUGAAGUAUUUCGGUACGUAAAGUUCUUUUAUUAGGGAAGAAUAAAUGAUGGAAAAAUCAUUCUGACGGUACCUAAUGAAUAAGCCCCGGCUAACUAUGUGCCAGCAGCCGCGGUAAUACAUAGGGGGCAAGCGUUAUCCGGAAUUAUUGGGCGUAAAGGGUGCGUAGGCGGUUAAAUAAGUUUAUGGUCUAAGUGCAAUGCUCAACAUUGUGAUGCUAUAAAAACUGUUUAGCUAGAGUAAGAUAGAGGCAAGUGGAAUUCCAUGUGUAGUGGUAAAAUGCGUAAAUAUAUGGAGGAACACCAGUAGCGAAGGCGGCUUGCUGGGUCUUUACUGACGCUGAGGCACGAAAGCGUGGGGAGCAAACAGGAUUAGAUACCCUGGUAGUCCACGCCGUAAACGAUGAGUACUAAACGUUGGGUAAAACCAGUGUUGAAGUUAACACAUUAAGUACUCCGCCUGAGUAGUACGUACGCAAGUAUGAAACUUAAAGGAAUUGACGGGACUCCGCACAAGCGGUGGAUCAUGUUGUUUAAUUCGAAGGUACCCGAAAAACCUCACCAGGUCUUGACAUGCUUCUGCAAAACUGUAGAAACACAGUGNAGGUUAUCAGUUGCACAGGUGGUGCAUGGUUGUCGUCAGCUCGUGUCGUGAGAUGUUGGGUUAAGUCCCGCAACGAGCGCAACCCUUAUUGUUAGUUACCAGCACGUAAUGGUGGGGACUUUAGCAAGACUGCCGGUGA